rnacentral:lncRNA from 1 species
ACGUUUUCAUCAAUCUUUAUGUUAAUCAAACAAGAAAGUAACAAAAUUUAACAAAACUAAUGAAACCUAAAUACUACUGUAGAAAAAAAAAAUCAAUCUUCAUGAAGGCAAAUAAGAUCAAGUUAUAUAUUCAAGCAUAAUAUCAUAAACAACCAGCAAUUUUAGACGUUCUAUGGACCAUAAACUCGAAUUGGCGUUGCAACCUUGAACGGACUCAGCUUGGCACGGUGUUGGGUGGUGAUUUUGGGCUGAUUUAACUGUGUUACGACUAGAAAGCAGAGCUGCUUUUUGUUGGUUUUAGAGUUCAUUUUUUGGAUUUUUUAAAACUGAUUUCCGCUGCAUAUUUUAGUUUGUUUUUGCAGUAGCUUCUAGCUACAUUUUUGGAGGAAGACAAGGUGGUUUUGGAGAUGAAGUUUGGAGUGUUUAAUAGAGCUUUUCGGGGCUAAUUUUUGCUGGGUUUAAUAGUGUCUAAUGAUGGAAAAUUGGGGUCGUCAACAGUGACGGAUUUAGGAAUUCAAGUUUGUGGGUGCUGAACUAUUUUUGUACAUAAAAUUAAUAGGUGCUUUUGUAAAUUUUUAUACGUUUUCUUAAAUUUUCUAUAUAACUAUACAUACCCUGCGUCAGGUUAAUGGAUGCUCGAACACCCAAUUUUAAUGAAUAGAUCCGCCCUGGUUGUCAAUGGUGGUGAGGGAAGAGAAAGCUUCAGGAAUUUUCAUGCUUGUCCAUGGCUUUACAUGGUGGAGGAUGUGAAGGAACAAGGUAAAGAAGUAGAAGACUUGGAUUCUAUCUUGCACUCUCUCUGUUUUUUAUUUUUUUUCCUUUUAACCAUUUUUUGCUUUUUU